CGGACGUAAAGAACUUGCCUCACAGCUAGGGACAACAUUUAGAAAUGAAUGCUAAUACCUGAUAUUAUGAUUUUAAGGCAUCUUAGAAUUAUGAAAGCUAUAAGCACUGUGAGAGAGCUUUGCGUCCCAUUAGCUAGUUGGAGAGGUAACAGCUCACCAAGGCGAUGAUGGGUAGCCGGCCUGAGAGGGUGAACGGCCACAAGGGGACUGAGACACGGCCCUU
rnacentral:rRNA from 1 species